rnacentral:rRNA from 1 species
UACGAAGGGGGCUAGCGUUGUUCGGAAUUACUGGGCGUAAAGCGCACGUAGGCGGACUUGUCAGUCAGAGGUGAAAUCCCGAAGCUUAACUUCGGAACUGCCUUUGAUACUGCAAGUCUUGAGGAUGAGAGAGGUAAGUGGAACUGCGAGUGUAGAGGUGAAAUUCGUAGAUAUUCGCAAGAACACCAGUGGCGAAGGCGGCUUACUGGUCCGGUUCUGACGCUGAGGCGCGAAAGCGUGGGGAGCAAACAGG